UGCAGUUUUCUACUGACGAUGCGGCGUCCUCGAGCAACCUUUGACUCUGAGGUUCUUCUACACAAGGGCGGCACAUCUGCGGGCUGGAAUUAUCAUCGUCCAUGAGAAAUUGACCUCCGAGAUAGAAAGUUGCGAAAACCUAGUUUGGUGAAUUGGCCGGCGGGAGGAAGUGAUCGGAAAAGUGAUCAUUGACCAUGCGAAGGAAGUUGUUCGAGUACGUGGAAAUUUCUGAGACG
rnacentral:misc_RNA from 1 species